rnacentral:rRNA from 1 species
AGUGAACGCUGGCGGCGUGCCUAAUACAUGCAAGUCGAACGGAGUGGCGCACGGGUGAGUAAUGUAUAGCUAAUCUGCCCCAAUAUAGAGGACAACAGUUGGGAAAGGCUGCUAAUAUUCUAGAGAGUAGGUUGAGGCGAUAUUGUAUCAGCUAGGUGGUGAGGUAAAGGCAAGCCAAGGCUAUGACGGAUAACUGGUCUGAGAGGAUGAUCAGUAGAACCGGACGUGAGGCACCAGCCAGACACCUUCCGGAGGGAGCAGUAGGCAAUAUUGCCCAAGGGGCGAGACCCUGGAGCGGCAUCGCCGCGUGGAGCAUUACACUUUGCGGAGCAUAAACUUCUUUUGUAAGGUAAGCGGUACCUAACCAAUAAGCACCGGCUAACUCCGUGCCAGCAGCCGCGGUAAUUC